CAAAUUGAAGGGUUUGAUUCUGGCUCAGAAUGAACGUUGGCGGCGUGGAUUAGGCAUGCAAGUCGAGCGAGAACCGUAGCAAUACGGGGACAGCGGCGAAAGGGACAGUAAUGUGUAGGUACCUACCCCAGGGUUCGGGAUAGCUGCGGGAAACUGCAGGUAAUACCGAAUAAUGUCUUCGGACCAAAGGUGUGAUUCCACCUUGGGAGGGGCCUGCAUCCUAUUAGCUAGUUGGUGAGGUAACGGCUCACCAAGGCAACGAUGGGUAGCGGGUGUGAGAGCACGACCCGCGUCAUUGGGACUGAGACACUGCCCAGACACCUACGGGUGGCUG
rnacentral:rRNA from 1 species